CUUGCUGGUCUGAUCAGUGGCGAACGGGUGAGUAACACGUGAGCAACCUACCCUUCACUCUGGGAUAAGCCUUGGAAACGAGGUCUAAUACCGGAUACGAGACGCACGGGCAUCUGUAGCGUCUGGAAAGAUUUAUCGGUGGGGGAUGGGCUCGCGGCCUAUCAGCUUGUUGGUGGGGUAAUGGCCUACCAAGGCGACGACGGGUAGCCGGCCUGAGAGGGCGACCGGCCACACUGGGACUGAGACACGGCCCAGACUCCUACGGGAGGCAGCAGUGGGGAAUAUUGCACAAUGGGCGAAAGCCUGAUGCAGCGACGCCGCGUGCGGGAUGACGGCCUUCGGGUUGUAAACCGCUUUCAGCAGGGAAGAAGCGCAAGUGACGGUACCUGCAGAAGAAGCGCCGGCUAACUACGUGCCAGCAGCCGCGGUAAUACGUAGGGCGCAAGCGUUGUCCGGAAUUAUUGGGCGUAAAGAGCUCGUAGGCGGUUUGUCGCGUCUGCUGUGAAAACCUCAGGCUCAACCUGGGGCUUGCAGUGGGUACGGGCAGACUAGAGUGCGGUAGGGGUGACUGGAAUUCCUGGUGUAGCGGUGGAAUGCGCAGAUAUCAGGAGGAACACCGAUGGCGAAGGCAGGUCACUGGGCCGCAACUGACGCUGAGGAGCGAAAGCAUGGGGAGCGAACAGGAUUAGAUACCCUGGUAGUCCAUGCCGUAAACGUUGGGCACUAGGUGUGGGGUCCAUUCCACGGAUUCCGUGCCGCAGCAAACGCAUUAAGUGCCCCGCCUGGGGAGUACGGCCGCAAGGCUAAAACUCAAAGAAAUUGACGGGGGCCCGCACAAGCGGCGGAGCAUGCGGAUUAAUUCGAUGCAACGCGAAGAACCUUACCAAGGCUUGACAUACACCGGAAAAGNGCAGAGAUGUGCUCCCCGCAAGGUCGGUGUACAGGUGGUGCAUGGUUGUCGUCAGCUCGUGUCGUGAGAUGUUGGGUUAAGUCCCGCAACGAGCGCAACCCUCGUCCCAUGUUGCCAGCGGGUUAUGCCGGGGACUCAUGGGAGACUGCCGGGGUCAACUCGGAGGAAGGUGGGGAUGACGUCAAAUCAUCAUGCCCCUUAUGUCUUGGGCUUCACGCAUGCUACAAUGGCCGGUACAAAGGGCUGCGAUACCGCGAGGUGGAGCGAAUCCCAAAAAGCCGGUCUCAGUUCGGAUUGGGGUCUGCAACUCGACCCCAUGAAGUCGGAGUCGCUAGUAAUCGCAGAUCAGCAACGCUGCGGUGAAUACGUUCCCGGGCCUUGUACACACCGCCCGUCAAGUCAUGAAAGUCGGUAACACCCG
rnacentral:rRNA from 1 species